GAUGAACGCUGGCGGCGUGCUUAACACAUGCAAGUCGAACGAAGCACUUGAGAUUGAAUCUUCGGAUGAGAACUCUUGUGACUGAGUGGCGGACGGGUGAGUAACGCGUGGGUAACCUACCUCAUACAGGGGGAUAACAGUUGGAAACGACCGCUAAUACCGCAUAACCCGCUAGUAUCGCAUGAUACGGACGGAAAAGAUUUAUCGGUAUGAGAUGGACCCGCGUCUGAUUAGCCAGUUGGCAGGGUAACGGCCUACCAAAGCAACGAUCAGUAGCCGGCCUGAGAGGGUGAACGGCCACAUUGGGACUGAGACACGGCCCAA
rnacentral:rRNA from 1 species